GGACUACUAGGGUUUCUAAUCCUGUUUGCUCCCCACGCUUUCGUGCCUCAGCGUCAGUAUCGGGCCAGUGAGCCGCCUUCGCCACUGGUGUUCUUGCGAAUAUCUACGAAUUUCACCUCUACACUCGCAGUUCCACUCACCUCUCCCGAACUCAAGAUCCUCAGUAUCAAAGGCAGUUCUGGAGUUGAGCUCCAGGAUUUCACCCCUGACUUAAAGACCCGCCUACGCACCCUUUACGCCCAGUGAUUCCGAGCAACGCUAGCCCCCUUCGUAUUACCGCGGCUGCUGGCACGAAGUUAGCCGGGGCUUAUUCUUGCGGUACCGUCAUUAUCUUCCCGCACAAAAGAGCUUUACAACCCUAGGGCCUUCAUCACUCACGCGGCAUGGCUGGAUCAGGCUU
rnacentral:misc_RNA from 1 species